GUGUGUGUGUGUGUGUUAGUGUGUGUGUAUUAGUGUGUGUGUGUGUGUGUGUGUUAGUGUGUGUGUGUGUUUCAGGUAUUGAUCGUUCUGAUCGAUCGUCUUCGUGUUUCUCAGACGAAAGAUUAAACUGAAGCUUUAAUAAAAUCAGACCUGAAGAUAUAAAGAGCAAAGACACAAACAUUUACACACGUUAAAAACAUGUUAAAUACAUGUUAAACACAUGAACAUUUGCACACAUUAAAAACACAUUAAAACAUGUUUAAUACACAAACUGUGUUUUUCAGUUUCCUCUAUUUUAGACUCUGAUCAGCUGAUUGAUUAUUGAUCAUUGAUUAAAUCGUUUUUCUGCCGGUAACUGAAGGUUUGGAUCCAUAAAUACCAGCAGAUGCUUUUAUUGAAUCUCUGAGGAUCCAGAUAAAAAUUGAUUUAUUCACAUUUUAUCAUCUUCAUUGUUUCACUUUCUGUCCUUCAGGUUUUAUUACUCAAAACAGCAGCAAGAAAAACCUGAAAGGAGAUUUUUAUUCUUUAGGUUCAUCCAUAAAACCCAAAGAACUUCAGCUUUACGUCAUAUAAAACAGAUUAACGUGUUAAUUAUUAUUAUUAUUAUUUCAUUUCUGCUGGUUUUUUCUCUUCGUGUCUCAUUUUAUAUUUUUUUUCAUCAGCGUUUCUGUCUUGUUUCUUCUCUUGAUUUUUAUUAUCAUUUCUCUUCUUUUUUCAUCUCCUCUCUUUAACACAGACUGAUUUUAACGACAGAUCAGCUCAGUUUGAGGAAAAAUAACCAAUAAAGAAACCAAAAAAACAACAAAAUGAGAAAAUAAAUCAGACAACAGCAGCCAAGCCAAAGCAAACUGUCUGAAAACGGAUUUUUUUUAAUGUAUAAAUUAAUCUUUCUACAAAUAUUGGGGACAAAAAUAUAAAUUUUUGCAUUUAAGGUUAAAUUUACUACCGAAAAUGUACCGAAAGUUUUUACCUGCAGGAUUUGUGACAUCACAGCUGGUCUGUAGCCAAUCAGAGCGCAGGAUGAAUAUUAAUCCAGAUUUCUACAUGAAGGAGGAAGAAGUUUUAACUGUUUUAAUAAUAAUAACAUUUAAAUCAAACUCGUGUCUCAGCUGAUCAUUGUGGAGAGUUUUUCCAGCUGAGAUCAGACAGGAAGUCUUGGUGGAUUUUCAGCAUUAAAGAGCAGCAGCAGGUGGUUUUUUUGAUGAACCUCAUUAAAACAGUUUUAGAGGCGACCCAGAAACAAAGACUCUGAUUAUCUGUUGAGACAAUGAAGAUUAGACCAAAGAUGACUCAGAAACACUGAGAAUAAUAAACAGGAUUUAAUUCAGCUGAAAGUGAUGAUUUACACGGUUUUAGUUUUAAUAAAAAUCUUAAUGAUGCUUUGAAUUUACAUAUUUAGAAAUUGGUCUUUAACCAAAAUAUAUAAGAUAAAGAUUUCCAACAAUGGACUAAUUGAAAAACAAAAGCUUUUAAUUAAAUUUUUCAUGUAAAUAUUGUAAAAACUCAACUAAACAUUUUAUUGUUGUCAAAUUAUUUUCUUUAUUAUUUAUUUUUGCAGCCAAACUGUUUAUUAUUAUAUAUUCUUUCAGAAACUGUACAGAUGUUUCCACUACAUUUAAAAAAUAAAUAAAUACAGGUAAGUUCAUUAAACAGCUGUUAAAGCAGCUUCUGUACAAAAUCCAAACUCAAAUUACAUUUAUUUAUAUUUUUAUUGUUAUAUUUGAGUUUGUAUUGAACUUAAAGGCUUUCGGACCCGGAGGGAACCUCAGCGAGGAAGUGGCUCUGAGGGGCGGAGCGUAAAGAUCACGGAAAUUAACAGGCUCAGACAGGAAGUACAUGAGUCUGCACUAAAAAAUAAAAUAGAUAACAUUGUAUUCCGUUUUACACAUUAAAUAUAAGAAAUAAACGUGGUUUCACUCAGAAAUUGAUUCAUUAGAACCAGUUCUUUUCAUAAUUUUGGAGAUUUUCAAUAGAAAAUUUACAAAGUGAAAGAACACUUACAAAAAAUAAAUAUAUAAAAAUAAAACCCUGGGCUGAAACAAUCGAGCCGGUUGGUGGAAACGUAGAAACAGACAAAUAAUUGCAGCUUUAAAGAUAUUUUCAAUUUCAGAUGAACCACCAGCACGUUUGUUCCACCAAAUAUCUAAAAAGUUAAAUCAAUAAUAGGGUAAAUGCAUUUAUCUGACAACCACAGUGACUAGUUUAUUUUAAAAAUUAAAAAUUUAUAGAACAUACAAUUUAAAGCUUGCAAUAUGAAUUUCUUUAUGUAACUCUUUUCUUUGCAUUUCUUUCUUAAAAUGUCUUAAUUCUCUUGCUUGUUAUUAAUUAUUUAUUGGUGUUAAUUAAAUGUUAAAAUGAAGGAUAACUGUGAGGAAAAAAAUAAACAUAAAUAUUAUUACAUUUAUUGAAGUGUAAACGUUUGAUCUCACUCUAAAUUUCACAUAUUUGUGCUCAGUAUCCUCGUGUUCUUGUGUUUUUCUUAUUUAUACUGUAUAUGUGGUGUGUAUUCUUCAUCUCUUUAAAUAAUAGUUGUCUUCUUGCCUUUAUUGCUCUCUAAUAAAACUAAAGCCGCGAUUCCACAAGCACCUACUCGGCGCGGUGCGGCUCGGCUCGUCUUUGUUUGCGAGCGUUUCCAUAUGGAUUAGUGCAUGGUAUCAGACACGAUUUUCCGUACCUUCUCGGAUGAGGUUCCAAGCGAGAUGAAGCGAGCCGAGAUGUGACGUCUACAUAGUGCAGGCCACUGAUUGGACAGGAGUGCAGGCCACUGAUUGGACAGGGAGUGACGACACACGAGAGCGACUCCAGCACGAAAACAAAACCGGCAUUUAAAAAAAACUAAACAGAGACGGUGUGCAUUGCUCUUCACAGACCUCUCUGUUCUUCAUAAUUUUAAUAUGACAGCCAGACCUGUACUGUGGGUGGAUGAAGAGGUCGAGACUUUUCUGUCUUUGGUGGUGGACCAAAGAAUACAGAGGGAGCUGGACGGAGAAAGUUUAUCAGGAGGUCUCUGAGCGGAUGGCCGCUCACAUAUACAGUAGACUGUAUAUAAAGAGGACAAUGAAGCAGUGUAGGGAGAAGCUGAAAAAGCUCAAAAAUGACUAUUGGUUCACCAAGGACCACAACGGCCGGCGUGGGUCAACCAGGAGGUGUUGGAAGAGGUUUAAUGGAAGCUAUUUACUGGCACCGCACCAGCCAGCAACAGGAGGGAGACUCAGCUGCUGCAUUGUUGGAGACGUUCGAGGACGAAUCCCAUUCGACGUGCGAAGCCUCCUCCACCUCCGUCAUGGAGCCCCCAGCUCCCCUGCCUCCUCUCCACCACCAGCUUCAGGACCAGUACCAGCUUCAGGACCAGUACCAGCUCGGACACUGACACUGUCAACAUCAACCUCCAGCACGUCACAGUAACUUCUUAUCACUGGCAAGAGGAAAAGGUGCAACAGAAAAUUGGACCUUCCAAGCGUCCUUGUGGAGAUGCAGGCUGAGGAGGAGUGGAGUCAUUCCCAGCAUGAUGAGAACAUCUGGUUGCUCCUCAGCGAGGCAAGAGAGAAUGAAGCAGCCUUGCAGUGGAGGAGAUGGUCCAGAAUGCUGCCUUCAACCAGUCAUUCCUGGGUGUACUGGGGCAGCUGGUGCAGGCAGUGCUGGGUGUACUGGGGCAGCUGGUGCAGGCAGUGGGCAGCCAGAGUCCACCUCCCAGAGACUUGAGAUUUAGUUGUAUAUAGUUUUACUUUUAGCCCUCCACUGUAGGAGAGGCCCACCACAGUUUGUACUUUGCACAUUGUAAAUAGUUUUGAUUUUGCUGCUGACUAAUAAACUAUUUUGUGACUUA